rnacentral:rRNA from 1 species
AACGUAGGAGACAAACGUUAUCCGGAGUUACUGGGCGUAAAGGGCGUGUAGGUGGUUUCGUAAGUCUGGCGUGAAAUUUUUCGGCUUAACCGGGAAAGGUCGUCGGAUACUGCGGAACUAGAGGACGGUAGAGGCGUGUGGAAUUCCGGGUGUAGUGGUGAAAUGCGUAGAGAUCCGGAGGAACACCAGUGGCGAAGGCGACACGCUGGGCCGUACCUGACACUGAUGCGCGACAGCAUGGGGAGCAAACAGG